UCUUCAUGCUACACCAACCAGGGCCUGUCCCUAUGCUCCACCAACCAGGGCCUGUCCCCAUGCUACACCAACCAGGGCCUUUCUUCAUGCUGCACCAACCAGGCCUGUCUUCAUGCUCCACCAAACCAGGGCCUGUCCCCAUGCUCCACCAACCAGGGCCUGUCCCCAUGCUCCACCAACCAGGGCCUGUCUUCAUGCUCCACCAACCAGGGCCUGUCUUGGUGCUCCACCAACCAGGGCCUGUCUUCAUGCUCCACCAACCAGGGCCUGUCUUGGUGCACAUCCUAAUCUUGAGUAUAAACAGAAUAUUUCCUACUUUAUUAAAGUUGCUCCCUAGUCCUCUGUUUGUUUAUCUUGUGCUAUUUCCGUGUGUGUGUGUGUGUGUGUGUGUGUGUGUGUGGGGCCCCUCUGUAAAGGUUAAUUCUAUAUCCUGUCUGUCAUAAGUGCUGUAGUCAUGUACAGUAGCUGUUGCUGUAAAUAAACCUAGCUUUUCAGGAUGUUGACUCCAUAGAGUUUGUCCCGAUGCCUCAGUCAUAAUAGUAACCAAUUCUAUGAUAGUAACACUGCAGGGUUUAUUAAAUAUACUGGAGUGUUCAGAAUGACAUAUUAUAAAUAAUUUAACAGGAUCUCUGUGCUGGAGUGUUCAGAAUGACAUAUUAUGAAUCAUUUAACAGGAUCUCUGUGCUGGAAUGUUCAGAAUGUCUGUCUGUGACAGAACAUGCUAAUGAUUGACAGUUUUUGGCUCUUACGUCAUAUGGUGAUAUGAAGCAAGUCACUACUACACCAGUCAUGUGCCCAUUGACCCCCGUUACAGUCAUGACAUCACAUGACUAAGGCACCACACCACUGGUUGGACUCGUUAGCCCACCCUCAGGAAGUAUGCUCUGUUCUCUUUAUCAUGCAAGUCACUAGUAAACAGAUUCAACCUUGUCCUUUUUCAGCAAUCUACCUUGUGUUUAGUCAGGUCUGAACCCAACGAUGUACUUACCGCUCAACUACUGUGAUAUCCGUUGGAACAACUGUUGGGACAAAUGUACUGAAGUAAAACAGCACUACCUCUAAAAUGAGUCUCUCAGAGGUGAAUGAGGAGGGCGCUGACGCAACCAGGCGUAUCUUUGAGAAUCCCGACACCGUAAAAGGAGCUGAAAGGGUUCAUCAGAAGAGACCAGUCUCCCCUGUACCCAGCUGUCUGUCCAUGAAGAGUGACUGGUCUAAGGAUGUACCUCUAUUAUUCGGGUCGGAGA